rnacentral:rRNA from 1 species
GACGAACGCUGGCGGCGUGCCUAAUACAUGCAAGUAGAACGCAGUUGCGAACGGGUGAGUAACGCGUAGGUAACUGCCUGGUAGCGGGGGAUAACUAUUGGAAACGAUAGCUAAUACCGCAUACUACCAGAUGGACCUGCGUUGUAUUAGCUGGUUGGCGGGGUAAAGGCCCACCAAGGCGACGAUCAGUAGCGGGUCUGAGAGGAUGAUCCGCCACACUGGGACUGAGACACGGCCCAGACUCCGACGGGAGGCAGCAGUGGGGAAUUUUGGACAAUGGGCGCAAGCCUGAUCCAGCCAUGCCGCGUGAGUGAAGAAGGUUUUCGGAUCGUAAAGCUCUGUUGUAAGAGAAGCGGUAUCUUACCAGAAAGGGACGGCUAACUACGUGCCAGCAGCCGCGGUAAUUC